rnacentral:lncRNA from 1 species
CGACGGUCGCCUAACAGUCACUUGGCUGGAGACAGUCAGCAGCGAACAUGCUGUGCUGCUUUCCCAGGCCUCCAGGCCGCAGCCUCAGGACCCCGCCCAGGGAAAGCACUUGGGAGUGAGUGAGAGGAUGGAUCACUGGGUCCAGACGCUCCAGGCCACUGGCCAGGAACCUUCCUGCCCUCAUGGGCAGCACAGGGCAGGUCUCACCAGACCCAGCGACCACUGGCCCUGAGAUGAGAGGGAGCCCAGGGCAGGUCUCCCUGGGCCUGGCCACCACACACUCGGAGCCACUGAGUCCAGGACAGGACCAUUUAGGAUUGGCCACCUCUAUUGGAAAUCAGGUGGCGGAGAGCCUGUCACAGGCCUGCCUGGUGAGGAUAGUGAAGACAGGCUGGUGGUGCACCCCAUCGAAGCCCCUGGAGAAGCCCAUCCCGGGUAGCUGCCCCGUCUGUGGCGUCUCCUUCCCAGACUCCUCCGGGAUCUGCAUCGCUUCCCUACAUGACAGGAUGCUGGGAAGCUGCAGGGCCAGCUGCAGCCCAAGCUGAAGUCCCACCUGUAGAGCUUGUGCCAGCUCCACCUGCAGCUCCCUCCCCAGCUCUGGCACCACAGCCAGAGGCAGCGCCAGGAACCCCUUCUCCACCAGCUGCACAGCUGGGGAUCCUGGUGGUUGCACGGCGGGCAUCAGCUCCUGAGCUCCAGAAGGGGCAAGCUCCUGCCCCACCCCUGCCAUUCCCCUCCAUUACUCUUGGUCAUGUUUUGGCAUAUAGUUUUGCUCUUAUUUUCUGGGUUUAUGUAAAUAAUAGAACUAUUUUUUAAAU